rnacentral:rRNA from 1 species
AUUGAACGCUGGCGGAAUGCCUAACACAUGCAAGUCGAACGAGUUGUGUAGCAAUACAUGACUAGUGGCGGACGGGUGAGGAACACAUAGGAAUCUACCCUUGUAGUGGGGAAUAACCCGGGGAAACCCGGACUAAUGCCGCAUACGCACUAAGGUGGAAAGCGGGGGAUCGUAAGACCUCGCGCUAUAGGAUGAGCCUAUGUCGGAUUAGCUAGUUGGUAGGUAACGGCCUACCAAGGCGACGAUCCGUAGCUGGUCUGAGAGGACGAUCAGCCACACUGGAACUGAGACACGGUCCAGACUCCUACGGGAGGCAGCAGUGGGGAAUAUUGGACAAUGGGGGAAACCCUGAUCCAGCAAUUCCGCGUGGGUGAAGAAGGCCUGCGGGUUGUAAAGCACUUCUAGUGGGGAU